GCAUGACAAUCAGGUCAAUUAUUAGAAAAUCCAGCUAAAUCUCCCUCGUAGCUAACCAACUUAGUUACAAAACAAGCUAUCUUGGAAAAAUGAACCGACCAGAUAGCUGUCAAAAUGUUAUCCUAGACUGUUUAAAGGGGAUAUAGGCAAAAAAAGAAGAAGAUGCUGAUGACUACAAAGGAAAAAGGAAAAGCACGUACCCAGUAGAUAUCUGUUAGCCCAGU
rnacentral:misc_RNA from 1 species